GACGAACGCUGGCGGCGUGCCUAAUACAUGCAAGUAGAACGCUGAAGGAGGAGCUUGCUUCUCUGGAUGAGUUGCGAACGGGUGAGUAACGCGUAGGUAACCUGCCUGGUAGCGGGGGAUAACUAUUGGAAACGAUAGCUAAUACCGCAUAAUAGCAGUUGUUGCAUGACAACUGUUUGAAAGGUGCAAUUGCACCACUACCAGAUGGACCUGCGUUGUAUUAGCUAGUUGGUGGGGUAACGGCUCACCAAGGCGACGAUACAUAGCCGACCUGAGAGGGUGGUCGGCCACACUGGGACUGAGACACGGCCCAGACUCCUACGGGAGGCAGCAGUAGGGAAUCUUCGGCAAUGGACGGAAGUCUGAACGAGCAACGCCGCGGGAGUGAAGAAGGGUUUCGGAUCGUAAAGCUCUGUUGUAAGAGAAGAACGAGUGUGAGAGUGGAAAGUUCACACUGUGACGGUAUCUUACCAGAAAGGGACGGCUAACUACGUG
rnacentral:rRNA from 1 species